rnacentral:piRNA from 1 species
UAAAGCAAUAUUUUAGAACUGAUGUG